AGAGAGCUUGUUUUCCCCUGCCACCACGUGAGGACACAGCAAAAAGGCAUCAUCUGGAAAGCAGAGGGAAAUUCAAAAUGAACCUGCGGUUCUGGCUGUGGCAGCAGCAAGCAACUGCAGGAGACUGCCAGCUAACACAAUAGCACCGUAUUCAUGGCAGCUGUGGCAGCAAAUCCAACAGCAUCAGCAACUUCUGCUUCUGCAAAAAUAUAGGCUCCUGGCUUCCUGAAAAGUGGUGAUGACAAUAUUAUGCAGGCAGUUUCAGCAGCCGGCUCUCCCUCGCCCCAGCUACCCCCUCAGCACUUAUGGACUCUAGAUAAUACCAAGUUCCCUUUGCUCCUGCAGCCCUAAGGAUGAUAACAGCUUCUCACAGCUCCUGGGGUCCAAGUGGUUUUCGGUUACAUGGAUGAAUCGUAUAUUGGUGAAGUCUGAGAUUUUAGCAUAACUGUCACCUGAGUAGUGUGAAGUAGCUGAAACACUGACUAACUUAUCCAAAUUAUGAGAGCAAAUUACUGACACCAGAACUCUAGUCUCCUGAUUCCUGAUCCUUUGUUGCUGUUUCCUGUAUAACACACUGCCUUUGUGAUUGCUGGAAAGAGACAUAAACAGAGAAGGCUGUGUAUGACUAUCAGUGGAAAUGUACAUCAUCUCUUCAUCAUCAUCAUCGUGUAGCAACGCUAGAUGUUGUGAAUACUAGAUGUUGAUUCUCAAUCCUGGAUAUGUUGACCCCACGGUGGACAUUUGGUGAUGUCUGGAGAAAUUUUUGAUUGUUCAUCAUCAUCACAGCUGACAUUUGAGUGUUUAGUAAACAUAUUGGUGAAGGGUUCACAUUAUGAAAUAUCAGAAAGUAAGAUUGGAAAGGAAUGAGCAUCUCAAGAAGAAAAGAUAAGACUAAACAGAAUAGUAACAGUCUCAAUCUAAAUAUUGUAGAUAUUAAAUGACAAAUAAAAGCAAGUGCUACAGAAGUUUCAAAGAUGUUCAGAUUCUGAUGGCUUAAGGGUAGUUAGGCAUGGCUUGGUAGAAGAGGUGAGUUGGAGCUGAGAAUUCAAGAGCUCCAUAGGAUUUGGAAGGAGAUGAGAGGACAAUCUAGAUAAAGAAGGCAGUAUAGGGCACAGAGUUAAAUAAACCAAGUGGCGUUCAGGACAGCGAAGAAACAAAACUAGCUAGAGUAGAGGACUUGAGUAGAGGGGAAAUAAGACUGAAAAGGCAUGAUGGCUCCAGAUGGUGCAGGAACCCAGGCAAACUGAAUUUACUCUGGCAAAGAGAAGUCACUGCAAGUGCUUAAGCAGAAUAACUUGAUUAAAGUUUUAGGAAGAUUCAUCUGGCAAUGAUGUGCGAUGGAUUGAGCCAAGAGAGAUAUAAGGGAAGGCAGGGAGCUAUUCAUCUAGUAAGAAUAAGAAUAAAGAAUAACAAUACUAU